AGUGAACGCUGGCGGUAGGCCUAACACAUGCAAGCCGAACGGCAGCACAGUAAGAGCUUGCUCUUACGGGUGGCGAGUGGCGGACGGGUGAGGAAUACAUCGGAAUCUACUUUUUCGUGGGGGAUAACGUAGGGAAACUUACGCUAAUACCGCAUACGACCUACGGGUGAAAGCAGGGGAUCUUCGGCCCUUGCGCGAUUGAAUGAGCCGAUGUCGGAUUAGCUAGUUGGCGGGGUAAAGGCCCACCAAGGCGACGAUCCGUAGCUGGUCUGAGAGGAUGAGCAGCCACACUGGAACUGAGACACGGUCCAGACUCCUACGGGAGGCAGCAGUGGGGAAUAUUGGACAAUGGGCGCAGGCCUGAUCCAGCCAUACCGCGUGGGUGAAGAAGGCCUUCGGGUUGUAAAGCCCUUUUGUUGGGAAAGAAAAGCAGCAGGUUAAUACCCCGCUGUUCUGACGGUACCCAAAGAAUAAGCACCGGCUAACUUCGUG
rnacentral:rRNA from 1 species